GAUCUGGCUCAGGAUGAACGCUAGCUACAGGCUUAACACAUGCAAGUCGAGGGGCAGCAUUUCAGUUUGCUUGCAAACUGGAGAUGGCGACCGGCGCACGGGUGAGUAACACGUAUCCAACCUGCCGAUAACUCGGGGAUAGCCUUUCGAAAGAAAGAUUAAUACCCGAUGGUAUAAUCAGACCGCAUGGUCUUGUUAUUAAAGAAUUUCGGUUAUCGAUGGGGAUGCGUUCCAUUAGGCAG
rnacentral:rRNA from 1 species